rnacentral:rRNA from 1 species
UACAGAGGAUGCAAGCGUUAUCCGGAAUGAUUGGGCGUAAAGCGUCUGUAGGUGGCUUUUUAAGUCCGCCGUCAAAUCCCAGGGCUCAACUCUGGACAGGCGGUGGAAACUACCAAGCUGGAGUACGGUAGGGGCAGAGGGAAUUCCUGGUGUAGCAGUGAAAUGCGUAGAUAUCAGGAGGAACACCGGUGGCGAAGGCGGGUCUCUGGGCCGAUACUGACACUGAGGAGCGCAAGCGUGGGGAGCGAACAGG